rnacentral:rRNA from 1 species
AACGCGAAGAACCUUACCUGGGCUUGAACCGCACAGGACCAUCUUUGGAAACAGAGACUUCCCGCAAGGGACCUGUGUAGAGGUGCUGCAUGGCUGUCGUCAGCUCGUGCCGUGAGGUGUUGGGUUAAGUCCCGCAACGAGCGCAACCCUUACUCAUAGUUGCUACCCGCAAGGGAGAACUCUAUGAGGACUGCUCCGGAUAACGGAGAGGAAGGUGGGGAUGAGGUCAAGUCAGCAUGGCCUUUAUGUCCAGGGCUACACACGUGUUACAAUGCGCGCUACAGAGCGUUGCAAACCCGCGAGGGGGAGCUAAUCGCACAAAAGCGCGCUCAGUUCGGAUUGCAGUCUGCAACUCGACUGCAUGAAGCCGGAAUCGCUAGUAAUGGCGCAUCAGAACGGCGCCGUGAAUACGUUCCCGGGCCUUGUACACACCGGCUAC